rnacentral:rRNA from 1 species
GUUAGCGGCGGACGGGUGAGUAACACGUGGGUAACCUGCCUGUAAGACUGGGAUAACUCCGGGAAACCGGAGCUAAUACCGGAUAGUUCCUUGAACCGCAUGGUUCAAGGAUGAAAGACGGUUUCGGCUGUCACUUACAGAUGGACCCGCGGCGCAUUAGCUAGUUGGUGAGGUAACGGCUCACCAAGGCGACGAUGCGUAGCCGACCUGAGAGGGUGAUCGGCCACACUGGGACUGAGACACGGCCCAGACUCCUACGGGAGGCAGCAGUAGGGAAUCUUCCGCAAUGGACGAAAGUCUGACGGAGCAACGCCGCGUGAGUGAUGAAGGUUUUCGGAUCGUAAAGCUCUGUUGUUAGGGAAGAACAAGUGCAAGAGUAACUGCUUGCACCUUGACGGUACCUAACCAGAAAGCCACGGCUAACUACGUGCCAGCAGCCGCGGUAAUACGUAGGUGGCAAGCGUUGUCCGGAAUUAUUGGGCGUAAAGGGCUCGCAGGCGGUUUCUUAAGUCUGAUGUGAAAGCCCCCGGCUCAACCGGGGAGGGUCAUUGGAAACUGGGAAACUUGAGUGCAGAAGAGGAGAGUGGAAUUCCACGUGUAGCGGUGAAAUGCGUAGAGAUGUGGAGGAACACCAGUGGCGAAGGCGACUCUCUGGUCUGUAACUGACGCUG